rnacentral:misc_RNA from 1 species
AGCAGUAGCAGCUAAGUCGAUACUUCCCUUGCGCCGAUCUAUACGUAAUCACGAAUCAAGACAGCAGUUGUGUUAUACGACUAGUGUUAAUUUCUGCAGGCCGUAUAAAUCGCCAUCGAUCGGCUUCGGAUACCGCUUCGACAGCGACCGGAAGCUGCACGAUUCCGCUCCCAUCGCGGCGCAUUCAUCUCCAUAAAUACUGUCGAAGUACUCCCGAAGACACACGACGAAUACACGCGGGAGAAUUCUACGGGGCGAUCCACGAUGCGUCAUUCCUCCGGUAAUGGUUUAAAAGCUUUCGAUGGCGUAUGAAGAGGGACAAAGAGAA